rnacentral:rRNA from 1 species
GCUCCCUGGGAUGUUAGCGGCGGACGGGUCGAGUAACACGUGGGUAACCUGCCUGUAAGACUGGGAUAACUCCGGGAAACCGGGGCUAAUACCGGAUGGUUGUUUGAACCGCAUGGUUCAAACAUAAAAGGUGGCUUCGGCUACCACUUACAGAUGGACCCGCGGCGCAUUAGCUAGUUGGUGAGGUAAYGGCUCACCAAGGCAACGAUGCGUAGCCGACCUGAGAGGGUGAUCGGCCACACUGGGACUGAGACACGGCCCAGACUCCUACGGGAGGCAGCAGUAGGGAAUCUUCCGCAAUGGACGAAAGUCUGACGGAGCAACGCCGCGUGAGUGAUGAAGGUUUUCGGAUCGUAAAGCUCUGUUGUUAGGGAAGAACAAGUACCGUUCGAAUAGGGCGGUACCUUGACGGUACCUAACCAGAAAGCCACGGCUAACUACGUGCCAGCAGCCGCGGUAAUACGUAGGUGGCAAGCGUUGUCCGGAAUUAUUGGGCGUAAAGGGCUCGCAGGCGGUUUCUUAAGUCUGAUGUGAAAGCCCCCGGCUCAACCGGGGAGGGUCAUUGGAAACUGGGGAACUUGAGUGCAGAAGAGGAGAGUGGAAUUCCACGUGUAGCGGUGAAAUGCGUAGAGAUGUGGAGGAACACCAGUGGCGAAGGCGACUCUCUGGUCUGUAACUGACGCUGAGGAGCGAAAGCGUGGGGAGCGAACAGGAUUAGAUACCCUGGUAGUCCACGCCGUAAACGAUGAGUGCUAAGUGUUAGGGGGUUUCCGCCCCUUAGUGCUGCAGCUAACGCAUUAAGCACUCCGCCUGGGGAGUACGGUCGCAAGASUGAAACUCAAAGGAAUUGACRGGGGCCCGCACAAGCGGUGGAGCAUGUGGUUUAAUUCGAAGCAACGCGAGAACCUUACCAGGUCUUGACAUCCUCUGACAAUCCUAGAGAUAGGACGUCCCCUUCGGGGGCAGAGUGACAGGUGGUGCAUGGUUGUCGUCAKCUCGUGUCGUGAGAUGUGGGUUAAGUCCCGCAACGAGCGCACCCUGAUCUAGUUGCCAGCAUUCAGUGGCACUCUAGUGACUGCCGGUGACAACCGGAGAGUGGGGAUGGACGUCAAUCAUCAKGCCUUAUGACCGGCUACACACGGUGCCUACAAUGAACGGAACAAAGGGGGCGA